UCCACACAUGGGCUUUGGUUUAGAGGGAUGAUGUGAGCCAGCGCUUUGGCUGCGAUGAAACUACCCGCCUGCCUGUGGAAGGUCUGGGAUGCUGCACUUACCUAUGGCCUCAAACCUUCACUGACCCACGCAUCUCCCCCUCCUCCCUGCAACUGGAAGGAAACCAUGGCAUCAGAACACAUUGGGACUGGCAGCUGCCUCCAGCACAAGGACUCAGAGUCGCAUCAUUGGAUUCCUGGACCCACUUGUGCCUGCUAUCAGCUUCCUGUUCCUGAGAAAUCAGGAGAGGGUGACCUCAUGGAAACCCAGUCAUCAGCAAGAGGAGAGGCCGGCAGCAUUGGACGAGGGAGGCCGUCACAGAAUCAGGACCAGAGCUCGCUGGCCUUGGCGUUGAGAAGGUUUAUUGGUGGCCUCCUGUCUAAUUGAAUAU